GCCUAGCUUGCUAAGCUUGUUUUUAGUGGCGCACGGGUGAGUAACACGUGAGUUACCUGCCCCCAAGAGUGGGAUAGCCCCGGGAAACUGGGAUUAAUACCGCAUAAUAUCGCAAGAUUAAAGGUGCAAACCGCUUGGGGAUGGGCUCGCGGCCUAUUAGUUAGUUGGUGAGGUAACGGCUCACCAAGGCGAUGACGGGUAGCCGGUCUGAGAGGAUGUCCGGCCACACUGGAACUGAGACACGGUCCAGACACCUACGGGUGGCAGCAGUCGAGAAUCAUUCACAAUGGGGGAAACCCUGAUGGUGCGACGCCGCGUGGGGGAGCGAAGGUCUUCGGAUUGUAAACCCCUGUCAAGUGGGAGCAAAUUAAAAAGAUAGUACCACUAGAGGAAGAGACGGCUAACUCUGUGCCAGCAGCCGCGGUAAUACAGAGGUCUCAAGCGUUGUUCGGAAUCACUGGGCGUAAAGCGUACGUAGGCGGCUUGGUAAGUCGUGUGUGA
rnacentral:rRNA from 1 species